rnacentral:rRNA from 1 species
UACAGAGGUCCCAAGCGUUGUUCGGAUUCACUGGGCGUAAAGGGUGCGCAGGUGGUUUGGCAAGUUUGAUGUGAAAGCCCCGGGCUUAACCCGGGAAUGGCAUUGAAUACUGCUUGGACUGGAGGGUCGGAGGGGGGACUGGAAUUCUUGGUGUAGCAGUGAAAUGCGUAGAUAUCAAGAGGAACACCAGUGGCGAAGGCGAGUCCCUGGACGAUACCUGACACUGAGGCACGAAAGCCAAGGGAGCAAACAGG